UACGUAGGGUGCGAGCGUUGUCCGGAAUUAUUGGGCGUAAAGAGCUCGUAGGCGGUUUGUCGCGUCUGCUGUGAAAACCCGAGGCUCAACCUCGGGCCUGCAGUGGGUACGGGCAGACUAGAGUGCGGUAGGGGAGAUUGGAAUUCCUGGUGUAGCGGUGGAAUGCGCAGAUAUCAGGAGGAACACCAUGGCGAAGGCAGAUCUCUGGGCCGUAACUGACGCUGAGGAGCGAAAGCAUGGGGAGCGAACAGG
rnacentral:rRNA from 1 species